UUGCUAUCUGCGAUAUGGAAGAUUCGAACCUGCCGCAGGUCCGGGUCUCACGUAGUGAGACAACGGAGCCGCUUGCGGCGACGGCCCGAAGGGCGAGCGAAGCGAGUCAUCCUGCACGACCCACCA
rnacentral:sRNA from 3 species